rnacentral:rRNA from 1 species
GUCUAUGGCCAUACCAACAUGAACGCGUCUGAUCUCGGAAGCUAAGCAGGGACAGGCCUGUUUAGUCCUUGGAUGGGAGAAAGCUAUGAGUGGAGUUCUGGUUU